rnacentral:sRNA from 2 species
ACCUGCUGCUGCCAAUCUAUCUACCGCUGCCAACCUAUCUACCGCUGCCAAUCUAUCUACCGCUGCCAACCUAUCUACCGCUGCCAAUCUAUCUAUCACUGCUAAUCUAUCACUGCCAAUCUAUCUACCGCUGCCAAUCUAUCUACCGCUGCCAACCUAUCUACCGCUGCCAAUCUAUCUAUCACUGCUAAUCUAUUGCUGCUAAUCUAUCGCUGCUAAUCUAUCGCUGCUAAUCUAUCGCUGCUAAUCUAUUGCUGCUAAUCUAUUGCUGCUAAUCUAUCGCUGCUAAUCUAUUGCUGCUAAUCUAUCACUGCUAAUCUAUCACUGCCAAUCUAUCUACCGCUGCCAAUCUAUCUACUGCUGCCAAUCUAUCUAUCACUGCUAAUCUAUCGCUGCUAAUCUAUCGCUGCUAAUCUAUUGCUGCUAAUCUAUCACUGCUAAUCUAUCGCUGCCAACCUAUCUACCGCUGCCAACCUACCUACCACUGCCAAUCUAUAUAGGGUAAAUCAUGGUCCCAUUUGGUCCCAUUUUGUAAAAUGAGAUCAAAUGGGACCAGAAUCACUAAUUUAUUAGUAAAACAUGAUCUGAGACUAGAUUUAUAAUAUAAACAGUGUAAAGUGACUAAUUUGCUAAACACUAUAUAAGACUAGAACUAAGAUAUCUAAUAAUGAAACUGAGGAAAAAUUUGGUCUCAGUUCCAUAUAUGAUCACACAGUCAGUCU